UAAACAUUGUCAAAACUAGUAUUAUCAAGGGGAAUUUGACUGUUUAAUUAAAACAAAGCAUUGCGAUGGUCCCUUUGGAUGCUGACGCAAUGUGAUUUAUACCCAGUGCUCUGCAUGUGAAAGUGAAGAAAUUCAACCAAGUGUGGGUAAACCACAGUAGUAACUAUUACUCUCUUAAGGUAGCCAUAUGCCACAUCAUCUAAUUAGUGACAUGCAUGAAUGGAUUAACAAGAUUUCCACUAUCCCUAGAUACUAUCUAUAGAAACCACAUCCAAUGUAUAUUAG
rnacentral:ncRNA from 1 species